rnacentral:rRNA from 1 species
GACGAACGCUGGCGGCGUGCUUAACACAUGCAAGUCGAACGGAAAGGCCCCUUUGGGGGUACUCGAGUGGCGAACGGGUGAGUAACACGUGAGUAACCUGCCCUUGACUUCGGGAUAACUUCAGGAAACUGGGGCUAAUACCGGAUAGGAAUCCUUGCUGCAUGGUGGGGGUUGGAAAGCUUCGGCGGUUUUGGAUGGACUCGCGGCUUAUCAGCUUGUUGGUGGGGUAGUGGCUUACCAAGGCUUUGACGGGUAGCCGGCCUGAGAGGGCGACCGGCCACAUUGGGACUGAGAUACGGCCCAGACUCCUACGGGAGGCAGAAGUGGGGAAUAUUGCACAAUGGGCGGAAGCCGGAUGCAGCAACGCCGCGUGCGGGAUGACGGCCUUCGGGUUGUAAACCGCUUUCAGCAGGGGCGAAGCUUGUGGUGACGGUACCUGCAGAAGAAGCACCGGCUAACUACGUG